rfam:Schistosoma curassoni strain Dakar, Senegal genome assembly, scaffold: SCTD_scaffold0002283
AUCCAGCUGGUGAGUCCCAAGUAGGACGAAACGCACGUCAAACUGGAU